AGCUCAAAUUUGAAAUCUGGUAGCCUUCGGUUGCCCGAGUUGUAAUCUAGAGAAGUGUUUUCCGCGUUGGCCCAUGUACAAGUCCCUUGGAACAGGGCGUCAUAGAGGGUGAGAAUCCCGUCCUUGACAUGGACCCCCAAUGCUUUGUGAUACACUUUCAACGAGUCGAGUUGUUUGGGAAUGCAGCUCAAAAUGGGUGGUGAAUUCCAUCUAAAGCUAAAUAUUGGCGAGAGACCGAUAGCGAACAAGUACCGUGAGGGAAAGAUGAAAAGCACUUUGGAAAGAGAGUUAAACAGUACGUGAAAUUGUUGAAAGGGAAACGAUUGAAGUCAGUCAUGCUCUUUGGAUUAAGCCGUUCUGCGGUGUAUUUCAUUGAGCGGGGUCAACAUCAGUUUUGAUCGCUGGAAAAGGGCAGGAGGAAGGUAGCACUCUCGGGUGAACUUAUAGCCUCUUGUCGUAUACAGUGAUUGGGACUGAGGAACGCAGCAUGCCUUUUGGCCGGGAUUCGUCCACGUACAUGCUUAGGAUGUUGACAUAAUGGCUUUAAACGACCCGUCU
rnacentral:rRNA from 1 species